UUCUUCAGGGCAGGGUGCAAUUCCCUACCGGCGGUACAGCCCGCGAGCGGACGCUUUUUUAGCGAAAGCAUGAUUCGGUGAAACUCCGAGGCCGACAGUAUAGUCUGGAUGAAAGAAGAA
rnacentral:ncRNA from 1 species